AAUAAGUUGGUGUCCUAAAUUGAACAACAAAAAAAAAGGAGCUGAAAAGAAGCAAAAAUGUACCUCUGGAUUCUGACCAUACACACAAUGUGACCAGCUGCUUCAGAUUCUACCAUCAAGACUUCCCUGCUGUGAUUAGCUGGACCAUCAAACUAUAAGCCAAAUUAAUCCCUAUAUUCUUUAAGUUCCUUUUGUUGGGCCUUUUGUCACUGUGCUGAAAUAAGUAACUAGUACACAACUUAAAGGUCCUGCCUCUUAAAGCCAUCACUGUGGAAGUGAAUUUCAGAAUUCAAACUUAGGAAGAUAUAGACAUUCAAACCAUAGUGCAUAUUAAAAAGAACUCAGUGCUGAAAAUUAAAAUUAAGCUGUUGUCAAAUUAUCUGAACAAGCACUAUUUUAUUAGAGGCUCAGAUGAAUGCCGUGUAAACUGAAAGUUCCGUGAAACAUAUAACGCGUUUGAAACUAUCUCCCUGCAAUAGCAUGUGAUAGAUGAAUUUCAUUUAACUGUAUGUACAAAGAUAACUCACUCAUGAAAAACUCAGGCUCUGGUAUUGGCUCUUGCUUUCCACUGUUAGACAUUUUUCUUAUUUUCACACAAGCAAUAGUCUUUUUAAUUAAGCAAAUAUAUCACCUAUACCUUGUGAUUACAAUUAAACAAUUAAAAAUCUUGGAAGUAGAGGUAUCAUUUGUUUUGCGACACGCCGAGUUGUUCAUCUUUCUAAAUAACUAGAGAAAGGGGGGCUUCCCCACACUUCAUGCACCACUCCUGAACGUAACAUGGUGUAAUUCAUCACUGGAUAAAACAUGACAGGCAAGUUCAAGGACGACAACGGCACUUUAACUCUGAGCUUGAUAAAGUGCACACACUGGCAAUCAUUCUGUUUGCAACUAGUUCGUGGCUUGCAGUAUGAACUUUCUCUCACCUUGGGCCCCAAUCAGCUCUACUAUUCAUAACUUUUAUAUUGUCCUUACAAUGUUUUGUUUAACAUCCUACAUUGUCUAUCUACAUAAAUCGACUACCCGUUUUCUUUGUCUGCCUUCACUAAAGUGCUUUUUACAUAGUUUGUCACCAUUUCCUGACGCAAUUUCUUCUCCCUUCUUGGACCUCCUAACAUUUGGAAAAUAUGGACAGCACUCUGCUGAAGAUCUAUGCUCUUCUUAAUUUCCACCUUGAAUGAAUUUAAAUGCCUACAACUCAAAAACACAUUACUGUACUGGACUCCACUGCUGCGUUAACAGUGUGUACUUCAUUACAUCCUGGGUCAUCCAGAUAUAGAAAAGAAAAAAAUGUCUACAUCUUUAAUAAAUUGUAAUUUGGUAGAAAAAAAUCUCCCUUCAACCUGGCCACUUUAAGAUCUUUAAUAUUAAGAAAAAGAAGAAAAAUUCUUUUAAAAGAUUUUUAAUGUUAAAACCUACCUAACAUCAUUCACUAUUUCUUGUUACUUUAUUCAUAAUUUAAAGUAACAUGGAUUUGUCUCACUCAUAUAAUCAAACAUAUUAAAUAUUGUAUAUAUAACUAAAAUGAUUUGGGGUUCUACAAAAUUCCAGAACAAUAAAGUAGAAGUCAGACAUUAUGUUAGAAAUUCAGAAGCUCUGGGUGACACAUCCCUUUAAUUCAGCAUGAAAGAGACAGAGGCAAACAGAUCUAUGAGUUCAAGGCCAACCUGGUUUACAUAGACAGUGUUAGGUAAACUAGAGCUACAGAGUGAAGCCAUGUCUCAAAAGGAAAGGAAGAAAUUUAAUGAGCAAUGUGAUGGGAGUUAAAUACAGUGUAUAGGGGAGCUCGGCUUCAAAUAACAUUUUAAAGAAAAGUAGGCUAAACUGUCUUUGAAGAACAGCCUAGCAUCAAAACCAGGGCCAAAGAACAAAGACAGUAAAAGAGUUAACUAACUUAAGGAAAUUUUAACUUAAAGUAAGUUUUUGUUUUUGUUAUGUUUUUUGUUUUGUUAUUGUUAUCUAAUUUAUUUUUCAUGGGUAGUAUGGCUAUUUCCACAACUACUAUUUCCAAAUUACUAUGCCCACACAUUUGGGGGGGGGGAGGGGAAGCCAUUCAUAAUUAGAAUUCUAUUUGGGAAAGGCCUGCAUAGUUACCAAACAGGAUAGUCUAGUACUCCGAAUAUUUCCCAUAUUAUUCUAACAAGGUAUAAUAAGAAAGUAAAUGUCCAGGCUUAAUAGUGGCACAAAAAGACAGCACUUUAAAUACAGUAUGGAAAAAUAGCACCUGAUUUUUGCAGGCAAGAACUGAACUCAACAGAGGAAACAGAGUCAGGAAAAUGUAUCUGAACCUGUCAAAAUGGAGGCAUGCAGGUUUGGUUCUGCUGGGCUGUUAGUCAUUCUAACAAGGGCCCAACACCAUACACUUAUUCAUACCCACAGGUCCCUGAAGAGUGACUUGCUGGCCAGAAUUUGAUUCCCUAUGAAUCAUUGCUGGACAUAUUCUGAAUCCCAGAUUUGGAGAAAUAGUAAUGAGCUACAACUCUAACAUAUUACAAGUUAUUGAAUACAGAGAAAGUAAUCUUUUCACAGAGAUUAAAAGGGAGAAACCAAUACAUCUUUGAUAGCAAUUUCAGGAUGUAACAGAAAUUCUUAAAUAAAAAAAAAUUUAAUGUCUGUCCUUUUCUGUGGGGGGCAGGAGAAGAGAGGCCUCCUCCAGAAUCUUUUCAAAAAAAAAAAAAAAGCAAAAAUAUUACAUGGAUAGGACAAGCCCGCAAAAGUGGUACAAACAGCAAUUUGUCAUCCUCAGGCGACUUCUUAGAGGCUCCUCAGAAAUAAAUCCAUUCAAAAGCAUCCAGUAAUUCCAGAAAACAACAUCCAUGCCCACUUUCAAUUUCCAAUUUUCCUACCUUUUAAUAAAAAAACAUUACUUGAAGGUAAAAGAAAUCUUUGAACCGUCACUUACAAUAAAAUGCAGGCAACAAAAUAGCAGAAAUCUAAAAGAACAAUUUUCUAUCCCUUGUACAAAAAUAAAAUCCCUUUUGUUUCCAUGAAAAUAUGUAGGAAACACUUCUACUUAAGACAUACAUUAAAAAUAAACAUGGGUAUAAAGUAUAUUUUUAGUUAGCAAUUACUGAGAGUAACUUGUUACAUAGGUGGCUUACAUUUUUUAUUAUCAUAUAAAAUUGCUAAAGUCAGUUUCCAUUCAAGCAUAACGUUGUUGAAAUACUAAUGUUUGUUUAUUAUAUGUAAGUACACUAUAGCUGUCUUCAGACGCACCAGAAAUGGUGUCAGAUCUCAUUACAAGUGGUUGUGAGCCAACAUGUGGUUGCUGAGGUUUGAACUCAGGACCUUCUGAAGAGCAGUAGGUGCUCUUACCACUGAGCCAUCUCACCUAUAAGAUGGAACACAGGGUGUAAGAGCUAGAGAAAGUACCCAAGAGCUGAAGGGGUCUGCAACCCUUUAGGUGGAACAACAAUAUGAACUAAUCAGUACCCCCAGAGCUCAUGUCUCUAGCUCCAUAUGUAGCAGAAGAUGACCUAGUCGGCCAUCACUGGGAAGAGAGGCCCCUUGAUCUAGCAAACUUUAUAUGCCCCAGUACAGGGAAAUGCCAGGGCCAAGAAGUGGGAGUGAGUGGGCAGGGGAGCAGGGCAGCGGGGAGGGUAUAGGGGACUUUUGGGAUAGCAUUUGAAAUGUAAAUGAAGAAAAUAUCUAAUAAAAAAUUUUUUAAAUACUAAUGUUUAGGAUGUCUUAUAUGGAAAAUAAACAGAAAAUAGACAAAUAUAAAUAGUCACAGUACUGAAUCAUCUUUCUUAUAAAAAAUUUCAGAGGAUCAAACAUCUUGGCUAGUGAACUAUGAUUUCGUGUUUUCUGUUUAUUGCAAAAAAGAGCUUUGCUUUGUUCAAAAUCUUAUCCUGUAAGAGGAGAUUUUUCCAUGACCAAUAAGCAUUCACCUUCAUAUUUGUGUUCACACAGACAUCAAAUUACAAAGCAUGAGACAAAUAUUUACCCAGAUGUUUGAGUUAUUUUGUCCUUGGGAAUUAUUUAUUGGCAUUUUAUAUAUCU
rnacentral:lncRNA from 1 species